GGUUCCGUAGCUCAGUGGUAGAGCGCCUGACUCUUAAUCAGUGUGUCGCGUGUUCGAAUCACGCCGGAACCAC
rnacentral:tRNA from 1 species